rnacentral:rRNA from 1 species
AUUGAACGCUGGCGGCAGGCCUAACACAUGCAAGUCGAACGAGUGGCGGACGGGUGAGUAAUGUCUGGGAAACUGCCUGAUGGAUGGGGAUAACUACUUGAAACGGUAGCUAAUACCGCAUACCAUCAGAUGUUCCCAGAUGGGAUUAGCUUGUUGGUGGGGUAACGGCUCACCAGGGCGACGAUCCCUAGCUGGGCUGAGAGGAUGACCAUCCACACUGGAAGUGGGACACGGUCAAGAGUCCUACGGGAGGCAGCAGUGGGGAAUAUUGCACAAUGGGGGCAAGCCUGAUGCAGACAUGCCGCGUGUAUGAAGAAGGCCUUCGGGUUGUAAAGUACUUUCAGCGGGGAGGCGUUACCCGCAGAAGAAGCACCGGCUAACUCCGUGCCAGCAGCCGCGGUAAUUC